GGCCUCGUAGCUCAGUUGGUAGAGCGUGCACAUCCAAAGUGUAGGCGGUGUCCGUGCGUGGGUUUGAAUUCCACCAAGGCUA
rnacentral:tRNA from 1 species